AUAAAAACCCUGAAAACUGAUUUAUUUUUUAUUUUCAUUGUUUUAUCUCUUUCCUCUUGAUGUGUGUGUGUUUGGGUGUGGCCGUGUGCCACCCCCUUUUUUU
rnacentral:sRNA from 1 species